GAUGAACGCUGGCGGCGUGCCUAAUACAUGCAAGUCGGGCGAACGGACGAGAAGCUUGCUUCUCUGAUGUUAGCGGCGGACGGGUGAGUAACACGUGGAUAACCUACCUAUAAGACUGGGAUAACUUCGGGAAACCGGAGCUAAUACCGGAUAAUAUUUUGAACCGCAUGGUUCAAAAGUGAAAGACGGUCUUGCUGUCACUUAUAGAUGGAUCCGCGCUGCAUUAGCUAGUUGGUAAGGUAACGGCCUACCAAGGCAACGAUGCAUAGCCGACCGGAGAGGGUGAUCGGCCACACUGGAACUGAGACACGGUCCAGACUCCUACGGGAGGCAGCAGUAGGGAAUCUUCCGCAAUGGGCGAAAGCCUGACGGAGCAACGCCGCGUGAGUGAUGAAGGUCUUCGGAUCGUAAAACUCUGUUAUUAGGGAAGAACAUAUGUGUAAGUAACUGUGCACAUCUUGACGGUACCUAAUCAGAAAGCCACGGCUAACUACGUG
rnacentral:rRNA from 1 species